AGUGGUUCUUAUAAAUAUCAUUAUCUACAAAAAAUUCACCACCUCUCCCAGUUUCCACCCCUAAUUAUCUCUCGUCAUUUCGAAUCAAAGAGUCAAACAACCAAAAUAAAUUACUUAAGCAACUAUUCCUCCAAUACAAGCUCCUCCUCGAAGUACACAUCCAAAUUCACUCCUCCCCUUUCUAUCUCACAUCUUAGUCUUGACUACUUUCUUCACAAUUUUCCUCCAAACUUUUACCCUCAUUUUGAUAUAAGAAAGAUAAUUGGCACAAACGCAUCACCAAAUUGUUAUGAACAAUUGUUUCUCCAAUGCUCACAUAUUUGUUUUUCCAAGAAUUCAAUUUUCU
rnacentral:lncRNA from 1 species